rnacentral:misc_RNA from 1 species
UAAAUCCUUGAGUUCCUUCAAGAUACGCUUCGAAGCCAUGAUCUUGAGAAAUCAAAAGGGUUUGCGAUCGACGAGGGGAUGAAGAUCAGGAUCGGCAGGAAAGAGCUGUAGAAAGGGAAAUAAGCUUAGAAAUCAGAUCGAAUGGCGGCCCCCAGAAACCGCUGAAAGUUCUUCGGUCUCUAAAAUUGUCAAAUUCCACAAAAAUUCAGAG